ACGCACGCUGGCGGCAUGCCUCACCCCUGCAAGUCGAACGAGACCUUCGGGUCUAGUGGCGCACGGGUGCGUAACGCGUGGGAACCUGCCCUUAGGUUCGGAAUAACUCCCCGAAAGGGGUGCUAAUACCGGAUAAUGUCUUCGGACCAAAGAUUUAUCGCCUUUGGAUGGGCCCGCGUUGGAUUAGCUAGUUGGUAGGGUAAAAGCCUACCAAGGCGACGAUCCAUAGCUGGUCUGAGAGGAUGAUCAGCCACACUGGGACUGAGACACGGCCCAGACUCCUACGGGAGGCAGCAGUGGGGAAUAUUGGACAAUGGGCGAAAGCCUGAUCCAGCAAUGCCGCGUGAGUGAUGAAGGCCUUAGGGUUGUAAAGCUCUUUUACCCGGGAUGAUAAUGACAGUACCGGGAGAAUAAGCUCCGGCUAACUCCGUG
rnacentral:rRNA from 1 species